rnacentral:rRNA from 1 species
ACGCGAUUGGGUUGGCCGAUGUCCGAUUAGCUAGUUGGUGGGGUAAAGGCUUACCAAGGCGAUGAUCGGUAGCUGGUCUGAGAGGAUGAUCAGCCACACUGGGACUGAGACACGGCCCAG